rnacentral:rRNA from 1 species
UGGGGAAUAUUGCACAAUGGGCGAAAGCCUGAUGCAGCGACGCCGCGUGCGGGAUGAAGGCCUUCGGGUUGUAAACCGCUUUUAAUUGGGAGCAAGCGAGAGUGAGUGUACCUUUUGAAUAAGCACCGGCUAACUACGUGCCAGCAGCCGCGGUAAUACGUAGGGUGCAAGCGUUAUCCGGAAUUAUUGGGCGUAAAGAGCUCGUAGGCGGUUUGUCACGCCUGGUGUGAAAGUCCAUCGCUUAACGGUGGAUCUGCGCCGGGUACGGGCAGGCUAGAGUGCAGUAGGGGAGAUUGGAAUUCCCGGUGUAACGGUGGAAUGUGUAGAUAUCGGGAAGAACACCAAUGGCGAAGGCAGAUCUCUGGGCUGUUACUGACGCUGAGGAGCGAAAGCAUGGGGAGCGAACAGGAUUAGAUACCCUGGUAGUCCAUGCCGUAAACGGUGGAUGCUGGAUGUGGGACCCUUCCACG